GAUGAACGCUAGCUACAGGCUUAACACAUGCAAGUCGCAGGGUAACAUGAGGAAAGCUUGCUUUCCUUGAUGACGACUGGCGCACGGGUGAGUAACGCGUAUCCAACCUUCCCAUAACUACGGGAUAACCCGUUGAAAGACGGCCUAAUACCGUAUGAUAUCGUUUGCUGACAUCAAAUAACGAUUAAAGGUUUAGCGGUUAUGGAUGGGGAUGCGUUUGAUUAGCUUGUUGGCGGGGUAACGGCCCACCAAGGCGACGAUCAGUAGGGGUUCUGAGAGGAAGGCCCCCCACAACGGAACUGAGGCACGGACCAAACUCCGACGGGAGGCAGCAGUAAGGAAUAUUGGUCAAUGGGCGAGAGCCUGAACCAGCCAAGUAGAGUGCAGGACGCCGAGCCUAUGGGUUGUAAACUGCUUUUAUGUGGGGAUAAAGUGCGUGAAGUGUCAUGCAUUGCAGGUACCUAAUGAAUAAGGACCGGCUAAUUCCGUG
rnacentral:rRNA from 1 species